rnacentral:rRNA from 1 species
UUUUUUGUUGGUUUCUAGGACCGCCGUAAUGAUUAAUAGGGACAGUCGGGGGCAUCAGUAUUCAAUUGUCAGAGGUGAAAUUCUUGGAUCUAUUGAAGACUAACUACUGCGAAAGCAUUUGCCAAGGAUGUUUUCAUUGAUAAGGAACGAAAGUUAGGGGAUCGAAGACGAUCAGAUACCGUCGUAGUCUUAACUAUAAACUAUGCCGACUAGGGAUCGGACGAUGUUAUUCUUUGACGC